rnacentral:tRNA from 1 species
UUCCUGGUGGCUCAGACAGUAAAGAAUCUGCUUGCAAUGCAGAAGACCCAGGUUCGAUCUCUGGGUCUGGAAG